rnacentral:misc_RNA from 1 species
GAGCGGCCGAAGGGGCAGCACUGGAAAUGCUGUGUACCGUUUAUCGGUACCGUGGGUUCAAAUCCCACCCCAUCCGCCAUGAGAGUUUAGAAUAAAAUUGCCGGGUCCCUCCGGGUAGGGACUGGUGAACCCCGCCAGGCCCGGAAGGGAGCAACGGUAAGCCAGAAUCCCUACGCCGGUAGGGGGUGCCCGGUUUAACAAUAUUGAGGGGAAAUAUGAGCCUCAU